GGCUCAGGAUGAACGCUAGCGACAGGCCUAACACAUGCAAGCGAGGGGCAGCACAGGAGCAAUCUGAGGUGGCGACCGGCGCACGGGUGAAGUAACACGUAUGCAACCUGCCUGUAAGCGGGGAAUAACCCGUUGAAAGACGGACUAAUACCGCAUAAUACUAAAUUACUGCAUGGUAAUUUAUUUAAACGUUUAUGGCUUACAGAUGGGCAUGCGCAUGAUUAGCUAGUUGGAGAGGUAACGGCUCCCCAAGGCAACGAUCAUUAGGGGUUCUGAGAGGAAGGUCCCCCACACUGGUACUGAGACACGGACCAGACUCCUACGGGAGGCAGCAGUGAGGAAUAUUGGUCAAUGGACGAGAGUCUGAACCAGCCAAGUCGCGUGCAGGAAGAAUGUUCCCUAUGGAUUGUAAACUGCUUUUGCGAGGGGAAUAAAGUGCAUCACGUGUGAUGUUUUGUAUGUACUCUGCGAAUAAGGAUCGGCUAACUCCGUGCCAGCCGCCGC
rnacentral:rRNA from 1 species